CCAGACUCCUACGGGAGGCAGCAGUAGGGAAUCUUCGGCAAUGGACGAAAGUCUGACCGAGCAACGCCGCGUGAGUGAAGAAGGUUUUCGGAUCGUAAGACUCUGUUGGUAGAGAAGAACGUUGGUGAGAGUGGAAAGCUCAUCAAGUGACGGUAACUACCCAGAAAGGGACGGCUAACUACGUGCCAGCAGCCGCGGUAAUACGUAGGUCCCGAGCGUUGUCCGGAUUUAUUGGGCGUAAAGCGAGCGCAGGUGGUUUAUUAAGUCUGGUGUAAAAGGCAGUGGCUCAACCAUUGUAUGCAUUGGAAACUGGUAGACUUGAGUGCAGGAGAGGAGAGUGGAAUUCCAUGUGUAGCGGUGAAGUGCGUAGAUAUAUGGAGGAACACCGGUGGCGAAAGCGGCUCUCUGGCCUGUAACUGACACUGAGGCUCGAAAGCGUGGGGAGCAAACAGGAUUAGAUACCCUGGUGGUCCACGCCGUAAACGAUGAGUGCUAGAUGUAGGGAGCUAUAAGUUCUCUGUAUCGCAGCUAACGCAAUAAGCACUCCGCCUGGGGAGUACGACCGCAAGGUUGAAACUCAAAGGAAUUGACGGGGGCCCGCCAAG
rnacentral:rRNA from 1 species